UACGGGGGGGGCAAGCGUUGUUCGGAAUUACUGGGCGUAAAGGGCGCGUAGGCGGCCCUCUCAGUCAGACGUGAAAUCCCCAGGCUUAACUUGGGAACUGCGUCUGAUACUGGAGGGCUUGAGUGCGGGAGAGGGAUGUGGAAUUCCAGGUGUAGCGGUGAAAUGCGCAGAUAUCAGGAGGAACACCGGUGGCGAAGGCGGAUCUCUGGGCCUUACCUGACGCUGAGGCGCGAAAGCGUGGGGAGCAAACAGG
rnacentral:rRNA from 1 species